GACGAACGCUGGCGGCGUGCCUAAUACAUGCAAGUCGAACGCAUUUUCUUUCACCGUAGCUUGCUACACCGAAAGAAAAUGAGUGGCGGACGGGUGAGUAACACGUGGGUAACCUGCCCAUCAGCGGGGGAUAACACUUGGAAACAGGUGCUAAUACCGCAUAAUUCCAUUUACUGCAUGGUAGAUGGAUGAAAGGCGCUUUUGCGUCACUGAUGGAUGGACCCGCGGUGCAUUAGCUAGUUGGUGGGGUAACGGCCUACCAAGGCUGCGAUGCAUAGCCGACCUGAGAGGGCGAUCGGCCACACUGGGACUGAGACACGGCCCAGACUCCUACGGGAGGCAGCAGUAGGGAAUCUUCGGCAAUGGACGCAAGUCUGACCGAGCAACGCCGCGUGAGUGAAGAAGGUUUUCGGAUCGUAAAACUCUGUUGUUAGAAAAGAACAAGGAUGAGAGUGGAAAGUUCAUCCCUUGACGGUAUCUAACCAGAAAGCCACGGCUAACUACGUG
rnacentral:rRNA from 1 species